GGGUUGUGAGGUUAAGCGACUAAGCGUACACGGUGGAUGCCCUGGCAGUCAGAGGCGAUGAAGGACGUGCUAAUCUGCGAAAAGCGUCGGUAAGGUGAUAUGAACCGUUAUAACCGGCGAUGUCCGAAUGGGGAAACCCAGUGCAAUUCGUUGCACUAUCGUUAACUGAAUACAUAGGUUAACGAGGCGAACCGGGGGAACUGAAACAUCUAAGUACCCCGAGGAAAAGAAAUCAACCGAGAUUCCCCCAGUAGCGGCGAGCGAACGGGGAGCAGCCCAGAGUCUGAAUCAGCUUGUGUGUUAGUGGAACGGUCUGGAAAGUCCGACGGUACAGGGUGAUAGUCCCGUACACCAAAAUGCACAGGCUGUGAACUCGAAGAGUAGGGCGGGACACGUGGUAUCCUGUCUGAAUAUGGGGGGACCAUCCUCCAAGGCUAAAUACUCCUGACUGACCGAUAGUGAACCAGUACCGUGAGGGAAAGGCGAAAAGAACCCCGGCGAGGGGAGUGAAAAAGAACCUGAAACCGUGUACGUACAAGCAGUGGGAGCACCUUCGGGUGUGACUGCGUACCUUUUGUAUAAUGGGUCAGCGACUUAUAUUCUGUAGCAAGGUUAACCGUAUAGGGGAGCCGCAGGGAAACCGAGUCUUAACUGGGCGUUAAGUUGCAGGGUAUAGACCCGAAACCCGGUGAUCUAGCCAUGGGCAGGUUGAAGGUUGGGUAACACUAACUGGAGGACCGAACCGACUAAUGUUGAAAAAUUAGCGGAUGACUUGUGGCUGGGGGUGAAAGGCCAAUCAAACCGGGAGAUAGCUGGUUCUCCCCGAAAGCUAUUUAGGUAGCGCCUCGUGAAUUCAUCUUCGGGGGUAGAGCACUGUUUCGGCUAGGGGGUCAUCCCGACUUACCAACCCGAUGCAAACUACGAAUACCGAAGAAUGUUAUCACGGGAGACACACGGCGGGUGCUAACGUCCGUCGUGAAGAGGGAAACAACCCAGACCGCCAGCUAAGGUCCCAAAGUCAUGGUUAAGUGGGAAACGAUGUGGGAAGGCACAGACAGCCAGGAUGUUGGCUUAGAAGCAGCCAUCAUUUAAAGAAAGCGUAAUAGCUCACUGGUCGAGUCGGCCUGCGCGGAAGAUGUAACGGGGCUAAACCAUGCACCGAAGCUGCGGCAGCGACACUAUGUGUUGUUGGGUAGGGGAGCGUUCUGUAAGCCUGCGAAGGUGACCUGUGAGGGUUGCUGGAGGUAUCAGAAGUGCGAAUGCUGACAUAAGUAACGAUAAAGCGGGUGAAAAGCCCGCUCGCCGGAAGACCAAGGGUUCCUGUCCAACGUUAAUCGGGGCAGGGUGAGUCGACCCCUAAGGCGAGGCCGAAAGGCGUAGUCGAUGGGAAACAGGUUAAUAUUCCUGUACUUGGUGUUACUGCGAAGGGGGGACGGAGAAGGCUAUGUUAGCCGGGCGACGGUUGUCCCGGUUUAAGCAUGUAGGCUGGUUGUCCAGGCAAAUCCGGAUAAUCAAGGCUGAGGUGUGAUGACGAGGCACUACGGUGCUGAAGUAACAAAUGCCCUGCUUCCAGGAAAAGCCUCUAAGCAUCAGGUAACAUCAAAUCGUACCCCAAACCGACACAGGUGGUCAGGUAGAGAAUACCAAGGCGCUUGAGAGAACUCGGGUGAAGGAACUAGGCAAAAUGGUGCCGUAACUUCGGGAGAAGGCACGCUGGUGUGUAGGUGAAGUCCCUGCGGAUGGAGCUGAGACCAGUCGAAGAUACCAGCUGGCUGCAACUGUUUAUUAAAAACACAGCACUGUGCAAACACGAAAGUGGACGUAUACGGUGUGACGCCUGCCCGGUGCCGGAAGGUUAAUUGAUGGGGUUAUCCGUAAGGAGAAGCUCUUGAUCGAAGCCCCGGUAAACGGCGGCCGUAACUAUAACGGUCCUAAGGUAGCGAAAUUCCUUGUCGGGUAAGUUCCGACCUGCACGAAUGGCGUAAUGAUGGCCAGGCUGUCUCCACCCGAGACUCAGUGAAAUUGAACUCGCUGUGAAGAUGCAGUGUACCCGCGGCAAGACGGAAAGACCCCGUGAACCUUUACUAUAGCUUGACACUGAACAUUGAGCCUUGAUGUGUAGGAUAGGUGGGAGGCUUUGAAGCGUGGACGCCAGUCUGCGUGGAGCCAACCUUGAAAUACCACCCUUUAAUGUUUGAUGUUCUAACGUUGGCCCCUGACCGGGGUUGCGGACAGUGUCUGGUGGGUAGUUUGACUGGGGCGGUCUCCUCCCAAAGCGUAACGGAGGAGCACGAAGGUUAGCUAAUCCUGGUCGGACAUCAGGAGGUUAGUGCAAUGGCAUAAGCUAGCUUGACUGCGAGCGUGACGGCGCGAGCAGGUGCGAAAGCAGGUCAUAGUGAUCCGGUGGUUCUGAAUGGAAGGGCCAUCGCUCAACGGAUAAAAGGUACUCCGGGGAUAACAGGCUGAUACCGCCCAAGAGUUCAUAUCGACGGCGGUGUUUGGCACCUCGAUGUCGGCUCAUCACAUCCUGGGGCUGAAGUAGGUCCCAAGGGUAUGGCUGUUCGCCAUUUAAAGUGGUACGCGAGCUGGGUUUAGAACGUCGUGAGACAGUUCGGUCCCUAUCUGCCGUGGGCGCUGGAGAAUUGAGGGGGGCUGCUCCUAGUACGAGAGGACCGGAGUGGACGCAUCACUGGUGUUCGGGUUGUCAUGCCAAUGGCACUGCCCGGUAGCUAAAUGCGGAAGAGAUAAGUGCUGAAAGCAUCUAAGCACGAAACUUGCCCCGAGAUGAGUUCUCCCUGAGACUUUAAGUCUCCUGAAGGAACGUUAAAGACGAUGACGUUGAUAGGCCGGGUGUGUAAGCGCAGCGAUGCGUUGAGCUAACCGGUACUAAUGAACCGUGAGGCUUAACCUUACAACGCCGAAG
rnacentral:rRNA from 2 species